rnacentral:rRNA from 1 species
CAAUACCGCUGACGACCGGCGCACGGGUGAGUAACACGUAUCCAACCUUCCCAUAACUCGGGGAUAGCCUUUCGAAAGAAAGAUUAAUACCCGAUAGUACUUAAGAAAGGCAUCUUUUUUAAGUUAAGGAUUUAUUGGUUAUGGAUGGGGAUGCGUUCCAUUAGAUAGUUGGUGAGGUAACGGCUCACCAAGUCUUCGAUGGAUAGGGGUUCUGAGAGGAAGGUCCCCCACAUUGGUACUGAGACACGGACCAAACUCCUACGGGAGGCAGCAGUGAGGAAUAUUGGUCAAUGGGCGAGAGCCUGAACCAGCCAAGUAGCGUGAAGGAUGACGG